UCGGCGGAGAACUUCAACACAGUCUUGGUAAUAGUGGAGUUUAGCGACAAUCACCCAGGGCUUUCCAUUAGGC